CUCGUAGGCGGCCAACUAAGUCAAACGUGAAAUCCCUCGGCUUAACCGGGGAACUGCGCUUGAUACUGGAUGGCUUGAGAUUGGGAGAGGGAUGCGGAAUUCCAGGUGUAGCGGUGAAAUGCGUAGAUAUCUGGAGGAACACCGGUGGCGAAGGCGGCAUCCUGGACCAACACUGACGCUGAGGAGCGAAAGCCAGGGGGAGCAAACG
rnacentral:rRNA from 1 species